UACGGAGGGUGCGAGCGUUGUCCGGAAUCACUGGGCGUAAAGGGCGCGUAGGCGGCCUGAUAAGUAGGGGGUGAAAUCCUGCGGCUUAACCGCAGGGCUGCCUUCUAAACUGUCAGGCUAGAGCACAGUAGAGGCAGGUGGAAUUCCCGGUGUAGCGGUGGAAUGCGUAGAGAUCGGGAAGAACAUCGGUGGCGAAGGCGGCCUGCUGGGGUAAUGCUGACACUGAUGCGCGACAGCGUGGGGAGCAAACAGGG
rnacentral:rRNA from 1 species